ensembl:miRNA MIR18A microRNA 18a
GUACUGUCUUUGUGCUAAGGUGCAUCUAGUGCAGAUAGUGAAAUAGACUAGCACCUACUGCCCUAAGUGCUCCUUCUGGCAUAAGGGGCUGUAAUAUG